GCCAUUCGAGUGAGGGCAAUGCUUCCCAUUGCUUGUCACAUGGGUGACCCUAGCCAAUCAAGGAUCACUUGAAGAACUGAACAGCUUCUUAGUUCUUUCGAACAGACCCAAAACAAGCAGACUGCCUUGUAUAGUUCCCAGCUGAGUAUACUUUCCUAGUUUUCAGGCAAAUUAACCAAAGAGUUAGGAGACAUCUUCCUAUGUUUCUAUGUUCUGGUGAGAAUAAAGAAAUGUGUCUUCACAUCAAUACAAUACUAGAAGUUGAGGAGAUUAGGUUGAAGACUCCAUGAAACACAUAAUGUGUUAAAAUCUAAAUGCCAUGAUUACUAUAUAAAACUUCCAUGGUCAGAGGCAGUAUCUAUGGAUACUAGAAACUGGGGACAAGCCAUGGUUUAGGAGGACACUAUUUCCUUGUCAUUCUUCUGUCCUUCUCAGAGGUUUCUAGGGCAUCACUCUCAUUUAAAGAAGGCUGAAUUAGAUUAGGGUUUGGUCCGGUUCAAGAUGGUUCUUCUUAAAGUCUUACUCUUGGAAUGUUUGGAGAUCACAUCUCCAGAGGAACCCAAGAGUCUAGGCUGUUGUAAAUAGUAUCAGUCCAGUUUUAGACAAAUAUACUCACCCUCUUUACUAACAUUCUUUUUUCUGCAUUUCCUUUUAAUCUUAUGCACUUUUCUAUUUCAGAUUUAUCCUGUAUGUGCUACAGGCAAGCAGUCAUUGCUGGUUUGCUCCCUCCAAUAUAUUUCCUAGGUGCCGUGGGUUUUUGUUUUUGUUUUUUGUUUUAAAAAAGAGAAGUCUAUAAUUUGAUACAAGACUUCACAACAGGUGGCUAAUUGUUUUUGCUCUCGGCCCUCCAGGACCUUAAUGUGUGAGUCAGGCUUUUGAAAUCAAGAGUGAAUGUUGAGCAAAUAAGCAAAAGAUUGAAAAAGAAAGACCCAUCAUAAGGAACACAAGGGUAAAGAUGAAGUACAAUUUCUCAGGUUUCAAGGCCCAGGGUGAAUUAACCUGUGUGGAAGAACACAGAUUAAGAUGUGGAGGCAGCUGAGUUGCCAGCCAGUUAAGGAUUUCCUGGGAUGGAACAGAAUUGUAUCCUCUUGGCUAGUCACCAGAAUUGGGGGGAUGCAAAGGGUUUAUUAUUAUUAUUUUUAAAUAGACCCAUAUCCAGAUGGAUGGCUCUUGCUAUUAGUGUGGGUGACUGAGGCCGGUGUGUCUGCUUCCAUGGGGCUUCCAAAUUAUCUAAAGAACAGCAAAUCAAUGAAACCUUGUAGAAACCGUACAGUUGCAUCUGAAACUGGCUCCCACACAUGCUGAAAUUCCUGAGCAAAUGAUGAAAAACCUUUGCCUGAUGCUGGAACGAUAUCAAGAGUGGUUCCAGGCCAGCUUAUCUAGGAAAGGGAAUCUUUAACUCAGUGGAAGAGUAUCAGCAGUUGAGAUUCAACUGCUGACAUCUUGAGGGAGUGCUGAGAAUGUUCCCACUAUGACAAGCUGGAGAGACGCUGUCAGUCAAUCUAAACAAUAUUGAGCUAGAUCACGGUUUCCCAAACUUGGGUCUCCAGCUGUUUUUUGGACUACAACUCCCAUCAUCCCUAGCUAGCAGGACCAAUAUUCAGGGUUGAUGGAAAUUGUGGUCCAAAACCAGCUGGAAACCUGAGUUCGGGAAACUCUGAGCUUGAUUGACCAAUGCUGAGCUGUGUGUGGACAAUACUGAUGUCAAUGUUGGUCCGACUUGGGAUAAGGCAGCUUCCAGGGUUCCUAUAUGGAUUGCCAAAACCUUUCUCCUUGACUGCCGCUCAUCUAAUUUCAAUGGGAUUUUGGGGGAUGCCCUGAGCGGAAAAUGUAAAGUUUGUUCAGGAUGAUCAGGGAAAGGGCAACCAGUUAAGCAGACCGUAGGACAUCUCUAUUGGCAGACGUGCAGAUCGGUUGCUUGCUGCAACACUACUCAUGCUGGAUUUCCCUUACUACACCAGGAUCAGCUAUGGAGAUUGUCCAUCUUCCUUCCUUUUGACUGGAGCAUUGAUUUCUCCAGCCCUUCCACCUACAUGAGAGAGUCCUGUGGUCAGCCAUCAAGUUGUCUUCCAUGCAAAUUAUUUCUGUGAUUGUUGCCACAUGGUCACCAUGGCAGCAUCACAGUGCGAUAUGCGAGCCUUAUACAAAGUCAGGCCAUUGGUCUAUUUUGCUCAAAAUUAUCUACACUGGCAAGGUCUCUCCAGGACUUCAGAUUCUGGACACUCCUAGUCCUACCUGGAGAUACCUGGGACUGAACCUGGGAGCCUUCUGCAUGCUGUUGUGCAUCUUCCCCAAUGAAGGCUGUAACUGUAUAGUUGAACGAUAGGUCAUUUUCGCUUGUUGGCCAAUAUAGACUCCAAUCAUCCCACACACAAAAUGAUGGCAAACAAAAUAAUGCUUUGUACUUUUAAAGAACAAUACACCCUUGUUAGCUUCUUC